GAUGAAUGGAACCCUGAGCCCCACCCCCAGCAAAAGUCUCCAUACCAGCAAUGAGGAAGAUGCUGAUUCCUACGAGAACAUGGAGAGCCCCAACUCCUUCAGUUUACAGAAGGAAAGUACCCUGGAUCCACAAGGGGACAGAGCUGCCUUUGGUUCUGUGCGGCAAAAUCUCUCCAUUUCGUUUGGCACUGAUCUCUAAGGAGGUCUGUAGUGCUUAGUCUACAGCA